rnacentral:misc_RNA from 1 species
GCGGUCAGCGCCAGUGAUCCUGGGUAUUCUUUGUUGCUCCCGCGCGGGGUCGCGCUGCAGCAGCGUGUUGUUAUCCGUCUGGGGAACCAAUAAACAUGAGCCGCGCUACUGAGCGGCGGGACGUGUGCGAGGGCGCGGCAGCGUACCGAGUGGCAAGCCUGCUGCAGCGACCGCGCACGGUCGAGGGCGCCGACGUGGGGUCGCUGCGCGGGACGACAGCGCAGAUCGAGCAGUUUCUCGCCAUGGCGUCACGGGAGCCCGCAGUGCGGAUGGAGCCAGAGUGUAUGCAGACGGGCAGUGGCGAUAGCAGCGGCGCGGAGGAGCUAUCGCUGGUGGACGAGGGGCCUACCCUGCAGCUCAGCGUUGUCGCGGGCGUGCUGGAGGAGGUGGACGUGGCCGCGGAGCGGAGCGGAAUAUUAUCCCUCGACGGGCUUGUGCUGCCGACUGCGGCAAACCAAGAGGAGCUCCAGCGACGUAAGGCAGAGCAAGCGCAGGCGAUGCUGGACCUGUUGAGUGCGCUUUCGCCGUCCGCGCCGGCGCCGGGCGGGUGCCGCGGCGCGUCGCACGCGGCGGCGCACGUGCCGAGCAGCGGCGACGGCGACGACAGCGACGACGGCGUGGUCGUGAUGGACGCGGACGACUUGAUAGGGGAGGACUCGAGCGAGGACGAUGCGCCGUCGACGCGCCGGCGCAUCGUGGAGAUGGACUGACUGAUGGGUUGUUGUGGUGAGGGGGAAAUUUGUCGCAGGGUAUGGAGCGUGUGUGCAUGCUGCUGCUGCCGCGUUGGUGAGGGGCAGAGAGUCGUGAGCUGUCCUUCCUCACCUUCCCUAUUGCACGCGGGAAAGCGUGCUUCCUAACAGCGAGUAACGGACGGAUACCCGCCCGGUAAUGCACAAUCGAUCAAAGAAGGCACGUGCAAUCGAUAAGGGACGCAGGGCACGCUGUCGUCUCUCUGCGUGUGUGUCGUAGAGUGCGCGCACGGCAGAUGAUGCUGGCUGUGCUGGGGCAUGGCGCACUGAAUGCAUCUGCGACCGCCUCUGGCCCCAACGACUGGCAUCUGUGAUGGUGUGGGAUUCGAGCGUCCUCAUGCAACUGGUCGCGCACGUUCUCGUUUUGUUCACGGUGCCGUGCCGCUGCUGCUGCUGCUCCUCACUUCGAUACCUUUCAUUACUUCCACCGCCUCAUGUGUAUUUCUCUUAUGGUCUUAG